rnacentral:rRNA from 1 species
UACGGAGGGGGCUAGCGUUGUUCGGAAUUACUGGGCGUAAAGCGCGCGUAGGCGGACCUGCAAGUCGGGGGUGAAAGCCCGAGGCUCAACCUCGGAACUGCCUUCGAUACUGCGGGUCUCGAGUCCGGGAGAGGUGAGUGGAAUUCCUAGUGUAGAGGUGAAAUUCGUAGAUAUUAGGAAGAACACCAGUGGCGAAGGCGGCUCACUGGCUCGGUACUGACGCUGGAGGCG